CGUCGAGUCGAUCCGUUAAUCUUCCUUAUGGAGCCUUACAAUAGUUCAUAAGAACUGUUUAAAAACAAAACAGGAGUUUCCGUCUUUCAUAGGGGUUAAAUAAUUAUAACUCCAUCAGCUUAGUCCUAAUGCAGGUCUACGGUUUAUAACAAGUUGAUGAAGUGGUGCAGAUCAGAUCCUGUUUCAUAAUGGACGACACACAAAUAUCCAGAGAUGAAAAUGUUUCUCCAGGAUGCAGUUCAGUUCAUCAGAAGAGAUCAGAUCCAGAGCCCAGCUGUGUGUCUGUGAGGAGUGACCGGUCUAUGGAUCAUCCAUAUAAUUUUAGGAGUGAAAAUACACAGAUUGA